AGAAUCAACGCUGGCGGCGUGCCUAACACAUGCAAGUCGAACGCGAAAGCCCCGCAAGGGGUUAGUAGAGUGGCAAACGGGUGAGUAACACGUGGGUGAUCUGCCUCAGAGUGGGGGAUAACGACCCGAAAGGGUCGCUAAUACCGCAUAACAUCCUGCCUUUGGAUAGGUGGAGAUCAAAGUUGGGGAUCCGCAAGGACCUGACGCUUGGAGAGGAGCCCGCGGCCGAUUAGCUAGUUGGUGAGGUAACGGCUCACCAAGGCAACGAUCGGUA
rnacentral:rRNA from 1 species